rnacentral:rRNA from 1 species
AACGUAGGUGGCAAGCGUUAUCCGGAUUUACUGGGCGUAAAGCGUGCGUAGGCGGUUCAUUAAGUCGGUUGUGAAAUCCCUGGGCUUAACCUGGGAACUGCAGUCGAUACUGGUGGACUAGAGUACGGUAGAGGGUGGCGGAACUCCGGGUGUAGCGGUGAAAUGCGUAGAUAUCCGGAAAGAACACCGAUGGCGAAGGCAACCACCUGGGCCUGUACUGACGCUGAGGUACGAAAGCGUGGGGAGC